rnacentral:rRNA from 1 species
GAUGAACGCUGGCGGCGUGCUUAACACAUGCAAGUCGAACGGGAAAUAUUUCAUUAGACUUCGGUGGAUUUGAUUUAUUUCUAGUGGCGGACGGGUGAGUAACGCGUGGGUAACCUGCCUUAUACAGGGGGAUAACAGUCAGAAAUGGCUGCUAAUACCGCAUAAGCGCACAGAGCUGCAUGGCUCAGUGUGAAAAACUCCGGUGGUAUAAGAUGGACCCGCGUUGGAUAAGCUAGUUGGUGGGGUAACGGCCCACCAAGGCGACGAUCCAUAGCCGGCCUGAGAGGGUGAACGGCCACAUUGGGACUGAGACACGGCCCAGACUCCUACGGGAGGCAGCAGUGGGGAAUAUUGCACAAUGGGGGAAACCCUGAUGCAGCGACGCCGCGUGAAGGAAGAAGUAUCUCGGUAUGUAAACCUCUAUCAGCAGGGAAGAUAGUGACGGUACCUGACUAAGAAGCCCCGGCUAACUACGUG